AGACCAUCAUGGAGCAGUUCAACCCCAGCCUCCGCAACUUCAUCGCCAUGGGGAAGAACUAUGAGAAAGCCCUUGCAGGUGUGACCUUCGCUGCCAAAGGCUACUUUGAUGCCCUGGUGAAGAUGGGAGAGCUGGCCAGUGAGAGCCAGGGCUCCAAGGAACUUGGAGACGUCCUCUUCCAGAUGGCUGAAGUGCACCGGCAGAUCCAGAACCAGCUGGAAGAGAUGCUGAAGUCUUUUCACAACGAGCUCCUCACACAGCUGGAGCAGAAGGUGGAGCUGGACUCCAGGUACCUGAGCGCAGCACUGAAGAAAUACCAGACGGAACAGCGGAGCAAGGGCGACGCUCUGGACAAGUGUCAGGCCGAGCUGAAGAAGCUCCGGAAGAAGAGCCAGGGCAGCAAGAAUCCACAGAAGUACUCGGACAAGGAGCUGCAGUACAUUGACGCCAUCAGCAACAAGCAGGGUGAGCUGGAGAGCUACGUAUCUGAUGGCUACAAGACAGCCCUCACCGAAGAGCGCCGAAGGUUCUGCUUCCUGGUGGAGAAGCAAUGCGCCGUGGCCAAGAACUCUGCUGCCUACCACACCAAGGGCAAGGAGCUGCUGGCCCAGAAGCUGCCGCUGUGGCAGCAAGCCUGUGCCGACCCCAACAAGAUCCCAGACCGGGCCGUGCAGCUGAUGCAGCAGAUAGCCAGUAGCAACGGUGCCAUCCUCCCCAGCGCCCUGUCGGCCUCCAAAUCCAACCUGAUCAUCUCAGACCCCAUUCCUGGAGCCAAGCCCCUGCCGGUGCCCCCAGAGCUGGCACCAUUCGUGGGGCGGAUGUCUGCUCAGGAGAAUGUGCCCGUCCUGAAUGGCGUCGCAGGCCCGGACAGCGAGGACUACAACCCCUGGGCCGACCGCAAGGCUGCCCAGCCCAAAUCCCUGUCUCCCCCGCAGUCUCAGGGCAAGCUGAGCGACUCGUACUCCAACACACUUCCCGUGCGCAAGAGCGUGACCCCGAAGAACAGCUACGCCACCACUGAGAACAAGACUCUGCCACGCUCGAGCUCCAUGGCAGCCGGGCUGGAACGCAACGGCCGCAUGCGAGUCAAGGCUAUCUUCUCCCACGCGGCGGGUGACAACAGCACCUUGCUGAGCUUCAAAGAAGGCGACUUCAUCACCCUGCUGGUGCCCGAGGCCCGCGAUGGCUGGCACUACGGCGAGAGCGAGAAGACCAAGAUGAGGGGUUGGUUUCCCUUCUCAUACACCCGGGUCCUGGACAGCGACGGCGGGGACAGGUUGCACAUGAGCCUGCAGCAGGGCAAGAGCAGCAGCACUGGCAACCUCCUGGACAAGGAUGACCUGGCCAUCCCCCCUCCCGACUACGGCACGUCCUCCCGGCCCUUCCCCACGCAGACUGCCGGCGCCUUCAAGCAGAGGCCCUACAGCGUGGCUGUGCCCGCCUUCUCGCAGGGACUGGAUGACUACGGAGCCCGGUCUGGGAGCAGCGGCAGCGGCACGCUGGUGUCCACAGUGUGAGGAUGUGAGCCGGCAGCCGCUCCGAAGAGCCCCUCCCCCGCCUCCGUCGGUUUCCCUCAGCUCGCGUUGCGCCGAUGUGGAAGUGGCCAGAUUUUGAGCUGCCUCUGACUAGAGUUAGAAUCCCUUCGCCAACAUCCAGCUGAAGCCGACAGUGACCAAUGACCGGUCCGCCCCCUUCCUCAGCUGAGGGCCACGCCUGUGACGCUGCUGUUCCCCACCGCCUGCCAGAGCGUCGCACCCGUGUUCCGGUUCAGAGAACCGCCUGCCAGCCCUCCACCGCACGGCUCUGGCCCCAGCCUGCCCGCUGCUGGACCCUGACUGCUCCGGGGGCAGUCCCUGGCAGGCCCCAGGUGGAAGCCAAAGGAGAUGCCCAGGCCUGCUGGCCACGGGUCCUCCCCGGCAGAGGGGCUGGCUCUUGGGCGGGCACCGUCCAUCCAUGGCUCGGGAGCACUAUGUGUUGGAGCACAGGAGACUCAGCUUGCCGUGGGAGCUUCCACUCCCACACAGCUGUUCCAUUUUGAGACAGGGUCUCUCCAUGCAGUCCUGACUGGCACUGAACUCUGGAUCUUCCUGACUCAACCUCCCAAGGGUUGGGACUGUAGGCCUGAGUGUGCCGGGCUCACACUGCCUUGAGCUCCCCCUCUGGUCAAUAAAUGGGCACUUGAGCACACAGUGUGAUCUGUCGGCCGGGGGCUGCGGGAGUGCUGGAGGUUCCCCUCACCCUUAACCUCCCUUCAGACCCUGUCCGCUGUGCCUGACCAGCUCGGGCUCCCCGGCUCCCACCAGCCCCAGCCCCAGCAGGCACUGAGUGCUCAGCGGGCAGCUGCCACGGCCUGGACCGCCAGCGCAGGUCCUCCCCCGGGGCCUGCCUGAGGAUGGCCCGUCCAGCUGCCCCCGGCAGGGCCUUGGGCCUGAGCUGAAAUGCCAGACUUCACCGCUCCUCGGGUCUCAUGUGCAGCAGCACGAGGUGAGCUGAGCUGGCGGUAGCAGCCCCGCCCCGUGGAGAAUGCCAGGCAGUGCGCCUUUGUCAGACUCAACCACCUGCUCCUGCUCCUGCUCCGCACCCACGGCCACCAGGGCCCAGGCAGCACAGCCCCGCACACAGCAGGAAGGCAGAGGAGCCCAGACUGGGCCUUUCCUACCACCUACUACUCUACUGCUAGGCAGGGACAGACGCAGCCCCUGGCAAGGGCAGGGGCAGAAGAGCAGCUGCCAGAGGGAGGUCCGGGUCCACCUCUUCCUCUGGCCUACACAGGACCAUU